rnacentral:lncRNA from 1 species
GGAAGUGGACUCAUUUUCCACCGGAAGGAGGGAGAAAUUAUGACCGAGAGCCUGACACCUGAUGCUAGCGGCUUUUGUCUCGCCAAGUUGACCCAGUAUUUGGCCACCUUGUGCGGCGGGUGACUAUGGUGUCCAGGUAUAUAUAUGUAUUACCUGAAAGCCCAGGGCAGUUGUUGCCUUGGGUCAUGCAGAGAAUAUGCAGCCACACCCAUGCCUUAGAUGUGUGUAAUUCAAGUGGAGAAGACACAAGCCAGUGGUCGCAAUAUCAACACUUGAGUGUUCUGUAAACGAUUAAUGUUUGCCAUGUGCAAGGAAAUGGCAGAGGCAAAAUGCUGGCGGCUUAUGGAAAAAUAAUUUAUAAAAAAAUGAUGGGUUAGUUCUGCCAAAUUUGAGUAAGUGAGAACACGAGAAACCAUAUUCUGUUAGAGCUUGAGAAAAGGAAGGAAAGUCAAACGGUGAGUCUAACCUCAUUUAUUCCAGGAUUGGUGUCAGCAGAAAACCAACAGUGAUGUGGUGGCACACAGUGAACUGACAGGACCCAGGCAGCAGCGGUUCUUUUGGUGGCAAUGGUGCCAUGUCAUGGGUACUCUCCUUGCUGAUGGCAGAUACCGACAGGCAAACUGUUGCCUUGCGUUUAGCUCUGUUAACCAUUGACAGUAAGAUUUAUCAGAGGUUGCAGCUGCACAUGGCCAUGAGGUAAACCUUGCCCCUGUUUGAAAUUGAGUUUCAUCAGCUUCUACAUGGGAUUAUAAGGACUUGGAAUAUAUCACAGACCCAGCAGGGUUUCCCCCCUCAUUUUUUUUUUUUAAGAUUUAUUUUUCUUCCUAAAGAUAACAUGCUUAAACAAAGUUCUUUAUGGUUAGUAACUGUGAUGCUUGAAGUUGGUUAUCCCUUACUCCAGUAAAUUUUAAAUGUCAAAGAUAUCUUGUUAAAUAAAAAAAAAACUAUCAAAAUU